GCGGGGCUAUGGGGUGCGUCAGGAGACAUAUUCCCCGGGGCCUUACGAUCUCCUAGGGAGCUGUUCCUGGCCAGGUCCGUGGACCUGGACACACGGCGCCCACCUACUUAUGUAGGUUCCCGGGAUCGUCACUCCAACGGCCUUCGUGGCUCCGCG
rnacentral:other from 1 species